UACGGAGGGGGCUAGCGUUGUUCGGAAUUACUGGGCGUAAAGGGCGCGCAGGCGGCUGCUCAAGUCAGGCGUGAAAGGCCUGGGCUCAACCCGGGAAUUGCGCUUGAGACUGGGCUGGCUUGAGUGCGGGAGAGGAUGGUGGAAUUCCCAGUGUAGAGGUGAAAUUCGUAGAUAUUGGGAAGAACACCGGUGGCGAAGGCGGCCAUCUGGACCGCAACUGACGCUGAGGCGCGAAAGUGUGAGUAGCAAACAGG
rnacentral:rRNA from 1 species